GUUGCCUACGGGACGCAGCAGUAGGGAAUCUUCCACAAUGGGCGAAAGCCUGAUGGAGCAACGCCGCGUGGGUGAAGAAGGUCUUCGGAUCGUAAAACCCUGUUGUUAGAGAAGAAAGUGCGUGAGAGUAACUGUUCACGUUUCGACGGUAUCUAACCAGCAAGCCACGGCUAACUACGUGCCAGCAGCCGCGGUAAUACGUAGGUGGCAAGCGUUAUCCGGAUUUAUGGGGCGUAAAGAGAACGCAGGCGGUCUUUUAAGUCUGAUGUGAAAGCCUUCGGCCUAACCGGCGUUGUGCAUUGGAA
rnacentral:rRNA from 1 species